rnacentral:tRNA from 2 species
GCAUCUCUAGCUCAGUUGGUAGAGCAACUGACUCUUAAUCAGUGGGUCGGGGGUUCGAAUCCCCCGAGAUGUACCA